UACGGGGGGGGCAAGCGUUGUUCGGAAUUACUGGGCGUAAAGGGCUCGUAGGCGGCCAACUAAGUCAUACGUGAAAUCCCUCGGCUUAACCGGGGAACUGCGUCUGAUACUGGAUGGCUUGAGUUCGGGAGAGGGAUGCGGAAUUCCAGGUGUAGCGGUGAAAUGCGUAGAUAUCUGGAGGAACACCCGUGGCGAAGGCGGUUCUCUGGGACGGUACUGACACUGAGGAGCGAAGGCGUGGGUAGCAAACAGG
rnacentral:rRNA from 1 species